rnacentral:rRNA from 1 species
GAUGAACGCUGGCGGCGUGCCUAAUACAUGCAAGUCGAGCGAACAGACGAGGAGCUUGCUCCUUUGACGUUAGCGGCGGACGGGUGAGUAACACGUGGGUAACCUACCUAUAAGACUGGGAUAACUUCGGGAAACCGGAGCUAAUACCGGAUAAUAUUUCGAACCGCAUGGUUCGAUAGUGAAAGAUGGCUUUGCUAUCACUUAUAGAUGGACCUGCGCCGUAUUAGCUAGUUGGUAAGGUAACGGCUUACCAAGGCAACGAUACGUAGCCGACCUGAGAGGGUGAUCGGCCACACUGGAACUGAGACACGGUCCAGACUCCUACGGGAGGCAGCAGUAGGGAAUCUUCCGCAAUGGGCGAAAGCCUGACGGAGCAACGCCGCGUGAGUGAUGAAGGUCUUCGGAUCGUAAAACUCUGUUAUUAGGGAAGUACAAACGUGUAAGUAACUGUGCACGUCUUGACGGUACCUAAUCAGAAAGCCACGGCUAACUACGUG